AUUUUAAUUUAAUAUAGUAUACAUUUUUUUCCAAAACUAGUAUUAUAUAAUUAUAUUUUAUCAAUCUUAUACUAUUUUUUAUAUUUAUAUUUGUUUUAUUUUAUGUUUUUUAUAGAUAUUACUAAAUUAUAUUUUUUCUCUUUAAUCUCUAUAUUAGUGCUAAUAAAUAUAUUAUUUUAUACAAAUUUAACAAUUUUAUUAUCAGAAACUAGCUAAA
rnacentral:lncRNA from 1 species